rnacentral:rRNA from 1 species
UCCCCAGACUCCUACGGGAGGCAGCAGUGGGGGAUAUUGCACAAUGGGGGAAACCCUGAUGCAGCGACGCCGCGUGGGUGAAGAAGUAUUUCGGUAUGUAAAGCCCUAUCAGCAGGGAAGAAAGAAGACGGUACCUGACUAAGAAGCCCCGGCUAACUACGUGCCAGCAGCCGCGGUAAUACGUAGGGGGCGAGCGUUAUCCGGAUUCACUGGGUGUAAAGGGAGCGUAGACGGCCGUGCAAGCCAGGAGUGAAAGCCCGGGGCCCAACCCCGGGACUGCUCUUGGAACUGUGCGGCUAGAGUGCGGGAGGGGCAGGCGGAAUUCCUGGUGUAGCGGUGAAAUGCGUAGAUAUCACGAAGAACCCCGAUUGCGAAGGCAGCCUGCCGCAGCGUUACUGACGCUGAAGCUCGAAAGCGCGGGUAUCGAACAGGAUUAGAUACCCGAGUAA